AGAGUUUGAUCAUGGCUCAGAACGAACGCUGGCGGCAGGCCUAACACAUGCAAGUCGAACGAUACAGUGGCAGACGGGUGAGUAACGCGUGGGAACGUACCUUUCACUACGGAAUAGCUCCGGGAAACUGGUGGUAAUACCGUAUACGCCCUCAGGGGGAAAGAUUUAUCGGUGAAAGAUCGGCCCGCGUUGGAUUAGCUAGUUGGUGAGGUAAUGGCUCACAAAGGCGACGAUCCAUAGCUGGUCUGAGAGGAUGAUCAGCCACAUUGGGACUGAGACACGGCCCAAACUCCUACGGGAGGCAGCAGUGGGGAAUCUUGCACAAUGGGCGAAAGCCUGAUGCAGCCAUGCCGCGUGAAUGAUGAAGGCCUUAGGGUUAUAAAAUUCUUUCGUCAGGGAUGAUAAUGACCGUACCUAAGAAGAGCCC
rnacentral:rRNA from 1 species